AAUAGAUACCCAGGUAGUCCACGCCGUAAACGAUGAGUGCUAAGUGUUGGGGGUUUCCGCCCCUCAGUGCUGCAGCUAACGCAUUAAGCACUCCGCCUGGGGAGUACGGCCGCAAGGCUGAAACUCAAAGGAAUUGACGGGGGCCCGCACAAGCGGUGGAGCAUGUGGUUUAAUUCGAAGCAACGCGAAGAACCUUACCAGGUCUUGACAUCCCGCUGCCCGGUAUAGAGAUAUACCUUUCCCUUCGGGGACAGCGGUGACAGGUGGUGCAUGGUUGUCGUCAGCUCGUGUCGUGAGAUGUUGGGUUAAGUCCCGCAACGAGCGCAACCCUUGAUCUUAGUUGCCAGCAUUUAGUUGGGCACUCUAAGGUGACUGCCGGUGACAAACCGGAGGAAGGUGGGGAUGACGUCAAAUCAUCAUGCCCCUUAUGACCUGGGCUACACACGUGCUACAAUGGAUGGUACAAAGGGCUGCAAGACCGCGAGGUUUAGCCAAUCCCGAUAAAAACCAUUCUCAGUUCGGAUUGCAGGCUG
rnacentral:rRNA from 1 species